rnacentral:rRNA from 1 species
ACUCCUACGGGAGGCAGCAGUGGGGAAUAUUGGACAAUGGGCGCAAGCCUGAUCCAGCCAUGCCGCGUGAGUGAUGAAGGCCCUAGGGUUGUAAAGCUCUUUCACCGGUGAAGAUAAUGACGGUAACCGGAGAAGAAGCCCCGGCUAACUUCGUGCCAGCAGCCGCGGUAAUACGAAGGGGGCUAGCGUUGUUCGGAUUUACUGGGCGUAAAGCGCACGUAGGCGGACUAUUAAGUCAGGGGUGAAAUCCCGGGGCUCAACCCCGGAACUGCCUUUGAUACUGGUAGUCUUGAGUUCGAGAGAGGUGAGUGGAAUUCCGAGUGUAGAGGUGAAAUUCGUAGAUAUUCGGAGGAACACCAGUGGCGAAGGCGGCUCACUGGCUCGAUACUGACGCUGAGGUGCGAAAGCGUGGGGAGCAAACAGGAUUAGAUACCCUUGUAGUCCCAUG